rnacentral:rRNA from 1 species
AGUGAACGCUGGCGGUAGGCCUAACACAUGCAAGUCGAACGGCAGCACAGUAAGAGCUUGCUCUUACGGGUGGCGAGUGGCGGACGGGUGAGGAAUACAUCGGAAUCUACUUUUUCGUGGGGGAUAACGUAGGGAAACUUACGCUAAUACCGCAUACGACCUACGGGUGAAAGCAGGGGAUCUUCGGGCCUUGCGCGUCUGAAUGAGCCGAUGUCGGAUUAGCUAGUUGGCGGGGUAAAGGCCCACCAAGGCGACGAUCCGUAGCUGGUCUGAGAGGAUGAUCAGCCACACUGGAACUGAGACACGGUCCAGACUCCUACGGGAGGCAGCAGUGGGGAAUAUUGGACAAUGGGCGCAAGCCUGAUCCAGCCAUACCGCGUGGGUGAAGAAGGCCUUCGGGUUGUAAAGCCCUUUUGUUGGGAAAGAAAAGCAGCAGGUGAAUACCCCGCUGUUCUGACGGUACCCAAAGAAUAAGCACCGGCUAACUUCGUG